AGCUUUGCAGAGAGGCCACAUUGUAGUCAGUGAGGUUUAUCUGAGGCACAUACGAUUAUAGCUAAUUGAAAACUUUUCCCAAUACCAAGCCACGAGGACUUGAAAUACAGUUGGCAUUGGCAACUCCUAUGGCAAUUUCUCUAUGGAGA
ensembl:snRNA U4 U4 spliceosomal RNA